rnacentral:lncRNA from 1 species
GAGUGGAUGAAGGUGACGACUGAUCUUCCUUAGAGUUGAUGAUCUCGACCAAGUUUGCUCCAUAGUCUUUGUAGGUAAGUCUUUUACGUCAGGGGUGAGAGCUUGUCUCCCCCAAGUUGUUGUACUUUGUUGUGCCUUUCUCUUGGGACUUUGAUAAUAAACAUGUGUUUGAAUAAAAACUUAAAAGUAAUUGGGCUUAAAAAAAUCUUAAUCUGAUAAAUCUCAAAGUAAACAGUUUUAGAGAAAACAAGUAACAAAGUGGAAUACGAGUAAGUUUGUGGGCAUGGGAAAGAACUCAAAAGCACCCCUCAGUAAAGUUGAUUCGAAAGAACAUUAUCUCCCAAACUUAGUAUCCAUAAAGGUUCUCACUGCAAUAUCCAGAGUACCAUCUACUCGAGUACCAUGAAUUAAAUAAUAAACUUGUGAAGAAUCUUUUACUCUGUACUUGUCAAAUGCAUUUAUCGGAUUAAAGAUACGAAAACUUUGAGUUGUACUUGAAAUAAUUCCAAGAAGAACAAAACAAUUUUUUUUACCUUGCCCCAGUUCUUAGAUCAAGGAUUCUAAUACCUAAAAUUGGUGCCUAAGGGAAGAUUUUUGCAUUAGCCCGAAUUGCAUGUCCAUCACCGGUGAAGCCUAGAAAAAAUUGCUUUGAGGGCUUAGUCGUCGGCAUGUGGGUCGGAAACACUUUUUGAAUCCUUUUGUCAAACCUUAUGUGUCAGACCUAAGCAUUUCCAAUUGGACUACCUUGAAUGGUGUGUUCAAAGCUUUCUGCAUAUCGAAGAUCGUUUGGGAUAAAAUUCCACAUGGGGAUUGCCUAGUUUGGAUGACCAUUUGAACCUGCUAAGAUAUGAUGUCGCAGAACAUACUUAGUAUGUUGGUCUAGGAUAGAAGUAGUCGUACUUAGGGGUCAGGGUUUAGAGCCACCCUUGGAUGAUUUCUAGAUUGCCCAAUGUUGUAGAGCCUGUUUGAAUGUUAUAACCCACAACCUUACUGGUUGUACAAACUUUUUGGACGCCGGAUGGUGCACUGGACUCAGGACGCCAUGAGCCCCCAGCCCACCAAUUGUGACCACACUUAUUACAGUUCGAGUCUCCUAAGCUGCUAACUGUAUUAUACAAGAUGAGUUAAAGGAAACUCCUAUGACAAAGUCACUUUGAAUUUUUAGGUGCGAAGUUUUCAAAGUUUAUGCUUUAUUCGAAUGAGUGAGGUAUUCCUGCAUCACCAAAAAAAGGAAAGAAAGACACAGACAUAAAACAGAUUAACUGUAAGAAAAUAGUUAUUAUACACUUUGAAAUACAAUAGCAUUACAAAAUGUGGGAAGCCCAAAACUAAAGGUAGGCCAUGAUAAGAAAACAUAGUACAAAGGCCAAAAAGUAAAAUUAGAAGAUGUCACUAGUAGAAAAAAGCUCAUCUAUCACGGUCGAUGCCUGUGGUAGAUUGUAGUCCACCACGGACACUGUGCCCGUUAGUAAUCUGGAUGUGAUAGAAAGUCACAGAUUCUAUCACGGGUUAUGCCCGUUGUCAAUUGUAAUAUAACCACGGAUUGGGUCCGUUGUAAAAGCAGAUCUAACACCACGUGCACCAUAACCGUUGUGGAUUACAAAUUGAUCACGGCUAAUGCCCGUUAUAAAAAAAAUUUCAAAAAUAAAAAAAAAAAUUAAAUAUUGUUUAAUAAAUGUAUUAUAUAAUAUUUAUAAACAAAUUACUCAUUUACUACAAUAUAACAAUUAAUAAAAAAAUCAUAGAUUCAAACAUUACAAUCAUACACUAAACUAAAGCUAACAAAAAUAUGAUGAGAUAUACAAAGAAAUACCAAACUAUCCAGAGAUCUUCAACAAAUAAGGACAUUGUCACUUUGAAGACUUCACAUUUCUUUGAACACCUCCAAACAAAGGACCUUGAGAGCGAACUACUGCCCCUAAUGCUUGAGCCUCAACAAUUGUUGCCUCUCUCUAUCUGCAUGGACAUAAGCAUAUGGAUCAAGAAAAAAAAUCUUGUACUUGUAUAGGUAGAAAUAUACAUUUGAUCUCAAUCAAGAAAAGUGAAUAGAACUCUUGAAAAAAAUAUAUUAAGGGGGGUCCUCUGAGAAAAGAUAAACACAUGAUAGAUUAUGAAUCUACUAAACAGAGCCACUACAUAUAUAUUUAUGCAAAUAUAUACCAUACAAGAUUAGCCAACCCAAUACCAUAAACAAAGAUUUUGUUUUUAUAAACAUAAACAAUAGGAACCAAACCAAUGCUAUAAGCUAAAUCAUUAAUUAGCCCAGAAAUCAAUAUCAAGUUCUUACCUUGUCUGCAAGUUCUUUGUGCAAAUAAAAAGGGUAAACUGCAAAGCUACAAAAACCACAGUUUAGAAAACAUCACUGAAAAUUUGUAUUAAAAACUCAAACAUACAAAAACUACAUGUGGAAAAAAGUGCUAGAACGUAUCAAAUUUUGAGACUUGAAAUAUUAAUUUCAUUAGACGACUAAUUCACAAUUCGAUGAUAAGGAUGAUUAAGGACCAAGAAGUGGAAAUUUGAAUCACAAGUUGGGAAUGGAAUAUGUUUAUUCCCCAUGAGGGGAACACAGGUUUUUUUUUUUUUUUUUUUUUUUUUUUUAACUCAAUGAUUUCAGUUGUCAAUGUGAGAAAAGUUCAAAGUUUAAACAAGCAGGCAUUCAAAGAAUAGAGUACAAAUAGUAGACUCAGAUUUAACUUCACUUUUACACAUUUAUGCACUACCUAAAACUAGCAUGCAUUGGAGUGUAUAAGCUAAACUAAAUAAAAACUCGGUGUUUUAAGAUCCAUCAUAUACAAUUAUAUCCACCAAUAAUAUACGGACUUUAGAGGAAACUCAAGACUACAAAAUGAGAUUUCGUAAGCUCUUUCUUACACUCAUACUCACUCUGGAUAUUUCUCAAAACGGGCACUAAUCCACAGAAGGAACUCGAAGCAAAAAGCCCAGAUGAAGAAAUAAACUUCUUCACAUUGAUUCCGGAUUUCAAUCAAAGAUUCAAGCACGCCCUUUGUCCAAUACCCACUCUGGCAUUCCUUCAAGCACAUGGUGGGUACUUCGUAAUUACAAUCAACUCCAUCAUACUGAAGGAAAAAUUUUGUCCUAGCUAAGAACAAGUAAGAACAUUUGAAUACAUAUUGAUGCGAAAUAUAUAAGCACACAAAUUAAACCCUCUUUUUAUCAAUUGUAGUAAAGUAUGUAAGUAGGGAUCGUUCUAGGCCGGGGAUUAGGAGGGAUUGCUAAAUCACUUGGAAACUGACUUGAAAACGUAAAAACAAAGUUUAAAACACUAACUAGACUCAAAGAAUGCAAAACUAUACUUUAAAACACUAAAACAAACCAAAAGACUCAAAACAGCCCCUAAACACUCAAAACUACCUUAAACACACAAUCUGGGCAGUUUUGGGACUCUAACACAAACUUGGACGAAUUUUGGUUUUCUAAUGAACUAAAACACUUAAAAACAUAAUCUAAGACAAGUUCUAAUUAAUAUGACUCAAAGAAAUAAGAUGGGGUUGAUUUUGGAAGAAAAUACUUAAAUUAAGACAAGAACAAAGUAAACCAAAUUCUUAGACAAAUUUAAGUGAAUCAAAACAGAUUGUAAAAUGAAUUUGAAUGAAACUUAUGGAUGGAAGGCUAGCUAGGAGGUUCUUCUCCACACAUGUCACACUUGCAUACAAAACGAUUUCCAGUUGCUUUUUGAUAAGCUAUGAAUACUCAACGCCCCAAAUUAACCGUGAAUUGCACUAAUUAACCCUCGGUUUUUCCACAAGUUAUUGGAUUGGAUGAUUGCAUACGACAACCCAAAACAUUCCCUACAAGUUCCCUACAUGAAUUGCAUAAUAGAGAUACAAGCAAGAAUCAUUAAGUUCUAUGAAAAACAUAAGCAUUGACGAGGCACUCGUUACUAUGAUUUGCAUGAAACUUAUGCCAAGAAUUUACUUAACGUGAUUGUGACUAGCAACCUUCACUACUUGUGAAUAUAAGUUCAUAACGAUUAGGUGAAACUCCCUUAUAUUCUAGCGUUAAAUUCAUGCAUGAAAAUUAAGCGUGCACUCUCAACCAACAUACACAAAUCAUUUUUUAUACGAUCGGAUAAGUAAAUUGAAUUCACAACUUAUGAAUCACAACUGGAUGUAAUCAAAUCAUAUUGCAAGUAUGAACAUGGUUUCGAAUCACCCCCUAACUAAGAGGGGUUUAGUUCCUCAUACUCACAAAGAAAAGAUACAUAAAAUUAGACAUUAAAAUCAAAGGAAAGAAAACACCUAAAAUGCUCCAACUUGGGUAGCAAGUGCAUCCAAGAAUUCUCCUUUGCUUGCUUGCGGCAGAUUGCUUUGUGGACGGAUUUUUGGGUAGUUUUAUGAUGUAGAAUGGAUGGGGAAUGGUAUGGAAAUGUUUAGGGUAAGUGUGGAGGAGUGUUUGAGGGUUGGAGGGUGGUGGAGAACUAGGCAAAGAGGGUGGAAGAAGGUGGAGUGGCUGUUAUGUUUUUCUAGGCACUAGAAUGGUGUUUUUUGGGGUGUUUUUGCUACCUAGGGUGAGUAUGGACGAAUUUCUGUGAUGAAUGGUGAAUAUGAGAGUGUGAACCCUUUGCCAAGGGGUGUAAACAUGUAUAUAUAGGCCCCAAAAACCUUAGAGAAUCAGGUUAGGCUAGGGAGAAUGCACGGCAAAGAGUGUAUGUGGUGUGCAAUGGUCCAAGGGUGAAAAUGAAGUGAUGAUGCAAAGUGUGAAGGGUAAAAUGGAGUGGUCUUGUAGCUAGGGGCAUGAAUGAUUGUGUACGUUGCAUAGAGAUGGAAAGGGAGGUGAAAAUGUGUCAAUAAAUGGGUUAAAGGUGCAGCAACAUGUGGUACACAAGGCAUGGGAUUCCAAAUGUGAAUGAUGGAGCAUCAAUUGGUGCAUGUUAUGGUUGUGAAAGUUGUAUAAAAUUUUGUGGGUGAAGGGAACAAGAGGUAUCAAGCAAUUAAGUGUAAUAAUUAAAUGAAUUGAAGCAUAAGAUCAGAAAUUAUGUAGGGGACAAGAGUGAUCAAGCAUGGCAUGGGAAUCCAAAGGGAAUUCUAUGUUGUUUUGCAUGGCAAUGAAGGCAAGUUAGGGUGACAAAUUUUUGGGCUGAGUUCUUCAUCUUUUGGACCAUAAUUCUUCACAUUCUUGGCCUCUUUAGUUCUCAAAUUCGUCCAUCCACUUUGGCCCAAAUAUGUGACAUGCAUUCCAAGCUCCAUUUUGCUCCAAAAUGCUCCAAAAUGCAUCUUCUGCCUACUUUGUCCAUAAAAUCUGAAAACACACGAAAAUGACUUUAAACAUUAAAAUAACUAAGGAAACACGACAUAAAUACACAAGAACAAGCCAACUAAGUCGCAUAAAUAUGCUCCUAUCACAUAUGCAAACUAUUAACACAUUAAAGUAGGCAUGCAUUAAAAAACAAUUCAUAAAACCCAUGACUUUCAAAGCCUAGUGAAUGGUGAACCAAAAGACUCUUUAACAACAUUAAAGAGAAUGAAGAAUUUAAAGAUUCUUUACCCUUGAAGCUCAUCCUUGUUUACACAAGGGAUUCACCCAAGUGGAGGGCCUUCAAGUCACCUCCAAGCUCCUUGGAUCUUGCUUGUGAUUUCCUUCUCCUUUUGUGCUCAUUUGGUCCUUGAGGAUGUGAGGAAAGGAUCUCCAAAACACCAAAGGUUUGGUGUCUCUAAGUCUCCACACCAAGGGUGAGGUGUGAAGAUGAAAUGGAUGACUUAGAGAAGAAAAGAUUGCUAGAUAAAUCUCCUCUAAGUGGCCGGCCUCCUUGUUGAAAAAGAGAGAAUAGGUUUCACCUCUUUUCUACAAGAAAAACCCUAAUGAGAAAAAUAACUAUAAAGUUGCUUUUAUAACACUUUUCUUAGGUGAGUGGCAAACUUGCAAUUAAGCAAACCUUCACCCUCCCUCACCAUGGCCGGUCUAUUUGUUGUGAUUGGGCUUAUUGCCCAUUUUGUUUUAGUUGUCAUACAACUUAAACAUAAUGGGCCUUGUGGACCAAAACACUUUUGGGCCCCGAAACCCAAAACCAACUUAAAAGCCCAAUACGAACCUUUCGUAAAAUUAAUUAACUAAUUAAUUAAUCUUGACCAUUCUUCAAUUAAACCAUUUAAUUGCAUAUCCAUUUCAUUUAAUUUCUUCACUUUCAUCCUUACUCGGUGUACGAUCCAUUAGGUUCCAUUUAGCUAGGUAGUGGGCGAUUGUUACUCUUAACGAUCGAUUGUGAAUUGAAACCACAUUUCAAUUCUCCCUUAAAAUUAGUGUUUGCUAAUCAUCAGGGCUUCCACAAACCAUGAGUGACACCUAGCAGCAUGUCAUGGUUACCCAAGCUAAGUAGAAUUGGUUGGAGAACCUAUCCAGUUACAACUACAAUGCAAUACGGUCAUUCUCUAAUACAAUACUCUUAAUCACAUUGUUUAAGUGAUAGUUUGUUUCAUGUCUACUAUCCAAUGUGAUACUUCUUCAUAUGAUUCUUUUGAAUAAGAUUUGGAACAAACUUCCUAAGUCAUAUUCAUAUGCUUUGGCCAAAGACUCUCGAAUCACAUCUUAAAGUAUUCUCCUUCCACCAUGGAAGGUUAGAGAUCCCUUGUUGUGCAUUCAUAUGCCUACAUGACUAGAUAGCUUGACCCCAACAAUGCCGUGGACACUCCAAUGGAAUGCCUUUGACAUGAUCAAAGGUCAAGGACCUAACCAUUAGACAUCUAUGAUGCCUCAGGUCAAAGGACUACUUUGCAUAUUGCAACUAUCGAGUUCUUACAUGACAUGUAUGUUCAAACUCUCUUUUGAUCGUAGUUCAGUGUACUCGAUUACUCUUUCGAGCACCUAUGUGUUUGUCUUAGUGUCCAACACCAAAUGACUUGAGACUAGUCAUACUCACGCUUGAGUCGACAUAACACAUACUAACCUUAGCGGAUUGUCAAUGCCCAAUUGGCAAUCCUAUGGCUAGGAACGUUUUAGGAAUGAACAUAAGAGAAAGGUCUCGAUAAUCUAACUUACUUAAAUCACUUGUCUCUUAGAUCAAAUACAUCCCUUGGAUUCCCUUAUUGCUUAAGCACAUGAUACAAUAAAUAGUGAUUAACAAUAAGCUUUGCCUUUCAUUAAACAUAUAAAAGUUUAAUACAAUAAGUAUUCCGAAAGCUAUUACAUCAAAUAAGUGGCUUUGUGGGCAUACUUCCAACACAUACAUGCUAUAUAUUUAUCAAAACUAGCAGAAACCACCAAUACAAAGGCAAAACAGAAAACCCAGAAGAAAACUAAAGCAACCCAUCAAAUCAAACACGAAGACAGCCUGUAUCAACUAACACUAAAAAUAAGUAAGAACUAACACUAAAUUAGAAAACUUACAGAAAUCCCAAAACUGAAAGUUUUUAUUUUGGAAAAACACUUACACUGGAUGACAGCCCACGAGGAGACGGUCAUUUUUACCUGUUAGGUCAAGGUCCAAUUCUGGUAGGCUUGGCCGGAAAUUGGCAGAAAAACACACGGUCACCAUUUCUUGGAUCUAAAAUUGAGGAAAUUCGGCUACAAAUUUGUAGAAACUAACUUGGGGGUUGGAAAAAGGACAGGAAGAGCAUCCUGGAGGUAUAAUUGAGGGUUGUUGGUGACAUGUGGACAACAUCGCUAUUGCGUGAAAGAGAUGAGGAAGAGAGAGGAUACGAGAAGGGGUAGAGAGAGAAUUAAGGUGAGAGAGGGGAGUUCGACGUUCGUCUCAAAGAAAAAGAAAGGGAGAGAGAAGAGUCGAGUGUUGGCGUUUGAUCUGAAAUUGGUAGACAGGGUAGACGAAUCCUGAGCUUGGAAAUAUAUAACCUCAUUGAUAAUAGGAGGAAUAUGAAGAUACUUGGCAUUUCCGCUACUAGAAUUAUAUAAGAUGGAUCUUUUAUCAGAGGUAACCAUAAGAAGCUCGUCACUUUCACAAAAUGUCAAUAAAUUGUCAUUGCCUUUAAGGGGUCCAACAGUUAGGAUUUUUGUCCAUGAACUCUUAACUCCUUCAUAGUUGUCCAUUACCCAUAUUUCAAGUACUUCCAAUAAUCUAGAAUCCUCACAUGGAUUGUAAGGAGAGCAAAAUGAAGCAAUGGAUUCAUUAUACAGAAACAUAUUAUCAAACUUAAAACCAGAUUCCCUUCUAGAAGGCAAUUGUAUUAUAUGAAAUUUCUCAUCACCAAACUCAAAUGAAAGUACGUAUUCCUUGCCAUCACUUGCGAACCAAUAACAAAGUAUGCAAUCCUUGCCAUCACUUGCAAACCAAUAACAAAAUCCCUUCAAGUACACUGAACACGAACAGUGGUAGGUAUAACUUGAUAUCUUAAUCUUGAUGGGUGUACACCUCAGCCGUGUGAGGAAGAUCAAUACAACAACAACAACAAAUCCUUUUCCCACUAAGUGGGGUCGGCUAUAUGAAUUCUAGAACGCCAUUGGGCUCGGUACUGUGUCAUGUCCUCCGUUAGAUCCAAGUACUCUAAGUCUUUUCUUAGAGUCUCUUCCAAAGUUUUCCUAGGUCUUCCUCUACCCUUUCGACCUUAGACCUCUGUCCCGUAGUCGUAUCUUCUAAUCGGAGUGUUAGUAAGCCUUCUUUGCACAAGUCCAAACCACCGUAACCGAUUUUCUCUCAUCUUUCCUUCAAUUUCGGCUACUCCUACUUUACCUCGGAUAUCCUCAUUCCUAAUCUUAUCCUUUCUCAUGUGCCCACACAUCCAACGAAGCAUCCUCAUCUCCACUACACCCAUUUUAUGUACGUGUUGAUGCUUCACCGCCCAACAUUCCAUGCCAUACAACAUCGAUGAUAAUAUUUUUGCUCAUCAUCUGAAUACUCACAGUUUUCUAUUAUUUUCACAACCUUGUAUUCUUUAGUUUUGCAAUCAUAGCCAAAUCCCAUUCCUUGAAAGGUCGAUUCCAAUUCGAACUUUCCCUCGGGAGGGAAAGGUAGAAGAAGGCAAGAAUCUGGAAGUUGCCUAAACUCCCUUGUUACAGGAUUGUAUAAAAGAGCGUUUUCCUUACUAUUAGACAGACAAUCGCAUUGCAAUAACUGAUAUUCAAUACAUGAUCAUGAUCUUCCAAUGGAAACGGUAUAUAUUUAGGUUUUCAAUAUCAUAAUGAAGGUUGUGCUCUUCACUAUCAAUGAAAAGAUUAAUCAUAGACCAGAAAAAUUCUUGUUUCCAACUCUGGUCUGGGAAAAUGUGACCUAAGAACGGUUGAGAAGGAUACCAUUGGAGGAUGAGAGUUUGUUGUCCAUGGAACUACUGACGUGUUUGGCAACAAAACUUAGACUAUUGAUACGGGUGCACCAAGACUUGUGUAUGCAUUUGAAUCGCAUCAGAGAUUUGGGUGGUAACCUAGAUAUGAUUUCAACCAUCCUAUCUUCAAGAGUUUCACUUUCAUGCACCAGGGACAUUCCACAGGAAAUCUUCACACAUAUAUGACAUAUGUUGCACAAAAUCAGUAGCGACUUUGGUACAAUAGAAAAUGUAAGUUUGUGACCUUCACUAGAUUGCUCUGGUUACUAGUGUGGAUAAGUAUGUAAAUGGAUAGAGACAGGGAAGCAAAGACAAGAUGUACGUGGUUCACCCAGAUUGGCUACGUCCACGGAGUAGAGGAGUUCUCAUUAAUUGUGAAGGGUUUACACAAGUAUAGAUUCAAGCUCUCCUUUUGUGAGUACUAGUGAAUGAUUUAGUACAAAUGACAUUAGGAAAUAUUGUGGGAGAAUGAUCUCCUUUUAUAGAAGAGAGUUUCUAGCUUUGUUUUGACAUUGACACGUGUCAUGUUGUGAUUGGCUUCUGAUGUUGACACGUGUCUCGUUAUGAUUGGCUUCUGAUGUCGACACGUGUCGUGCUGUGAUUGGCCUCCUGGUUGGAGUGAAACUUUUCUAGGUCCUUGACGGUAUAACGUUGACCUGUGCUCAGUAAUUUUGGGAUUGGUCAAGUAUGGUACAAACAGUGCUCCCUUAAGUUCCCAAGUGAGGGAAGCUCCUUGGUUGGGGACUUGCAAGAUCCAAGCCGCUGAGUAAUCACAAAACUUCUAAGUACCGAAGUGUGGUAUCGUCUUCACUUGCCUUAUCUGUCUCAUAGGUAGAUGUGGCAUCUUCUCUAGAAGUACUUUUCCUCCAUCCAGGGGUGGUGUCUUUAACUAGUGAAGAUGCACAAGGUAAUGUAUCAAUUUGACUUGAAGCUUACUUGUAGUUUCAGGCUUGGUCAAGCGCGAUACAAACCAUGUAGUAGGAGUGAUAGGAUCAUAUUUAUAUAUAUUUUUACUUCAAAUUCACUCGUCUUUUCUUAGUUAGUUCCUUAUAUUUUUGAGCUAUUUACGUUAUUUUUGUGUUUAUAGGAUUUGUUAUGCAAAGAAAAUAAAAAUGGCUAAAUGAUUUUUAUUUAUCAAAAACGUGGCAGUGUGGUAGGUGGAGCUGGAUGAGUGGAUACCAUCUAGAAGAAUAAGUGCAGCUGGUAGGUGAGGGGAAAAGAAGAAAUAAAAAAAAAAGAAAGGGUGAGGCAUUAGCCUCGGAAGUGAAAAGAAUAAGAAGCAUAAAAGCUUCUGGGAAAGGGGGAAGAGAGGAGCUGCCCUUUGGGCAGCUCGCACAGACGCAGGAAGGAGGCGCGGACAGAAAAGAAAAGAAAAGCUGCCUUUGCAGCUGAGGCUCGGGGGGAGAAAGAUCAGAGCUGCCAUUUGGCAGCUGGUGCGAGAAGAAAGAAAACCAAGAAGCAAAGGAGCUGCUUGGCAGCUCGGCAGAGGAGGGACAGAAGUCAGAAGGAGAAAAUAUAAAGGGGGCCUCGGUGAGGAGGGGGAAGAACAGAGAGCUGCCCUUGGCAGCUUGAAGAAUAAAGAAGGAAUAAAGGCUGCACCUUGCAGCGACUUGGAGGAGGUUGCUGAGCAGAAAAGCUGCCUUGGCAGCGACUUUCAAAGCAGGAAGACAAAACAAGAAGCUGCCCUCUUGGCAGCUUGAAACCGAGAGAAAAGCAGCAAGCUGCUUUGCAGCUUUCCUUGCGGUGCAGCAAAGACAGAGAAGGGCGCUGCCCUUUUGGGCAGUUCUUGUGCAGCAGGUGAAGAAGCUGCUCCAAGCAGCAAGUGAGGGAGGACGCGAAUAAGGGCUGCCAAUCAGCACAGAAGAAACAAAUCUGCCACUUGGCAGCACGUGGACAGAAACAGAAGCUGCAAGCCUCUUCUCUCUCGGUUAAAUCUUUCCAACUUAUGUUUUACUUUUGGUUUAAUUUGAUAAUAAUGUGUAAUUAAAUUUAUUUUGGCUAGAGGUUAAUUCAAAGCCAUGAAUAUAUUUGUAAUAUGAAUUGAUUA